GACAGGUGUGACAGGUGAGGUAGGACAGGUGAGGGGUCUCAGGGGUCUCACCAAGCCUGCUGUCCCUCACAAAGCUCUGGAUGAUGGCAGGGGAGGGGCACAGGUGUGACAGGUGAGGUAGGACAGGUGAGGUGUGACAGGUGUGACAGG